rnacentral:rRNA from 1 species
GACAGAGGGUGCAAACGUUGUUCGGAAUUACUGGGCGUAAAGCGUGUGUAGGCGGCCUUGCAAGUCGGAUGUGAAAGCCCCGGGCUCAACCCGGGAAGUGCUUUUGAUACUGCAGAGCUUGAAUGUGGGAGAGGAUCGUGGAAUUCCAGGUGUAGUGGUGAAAUACGUAGAUAUCUGGAGGAACACCGGUGGCGAAGGCGGCGAUCUGGCCCAACAUUGACACUGAGACCCGAAAGCGUGGGGAUCAAACAGG